rnacentral:rRNA from 1 species
UGUGUCAUAGGUUUCGUGCCGGUAUCUGUCCUUGGGGGUCUCCCACCUUGGCUCAGAACGAACGCUGGCGGCAGGCCUAACACAUGCAAGUCGAGCGGUAGCACAGAGAGCUUGCUCUCGGGUGACGAGCGGCGGACGGGUGAGUAAUGUCUGGGAAACUGCCUGAUGGAGGGGGAUAACUACUGGAAACGGUAGCUAAUACCGCAUAACGUCGCAAGACCAAAGUGGGGGACCUUCGGGCCUCAUGCCAUCAGAUGUGCCCAGAUGGGAUUAGCUGGUAGGUGGGGUAACGGCUCACCUAGGCGACGAUCCCUAGCUGGUCUGAGAGGAUGACCAGCCACACUGGAACUGAGACACGGUCCAGACUCCUACGGGAGGCAGCAGUGGGGAAUAUUGCACAAUGGGCGCAAGCCUGAUGCAGCCAUGCCGCGUGUGUGAAGAAGGCCUUCGGGUUGUAAAGCACUUUCAGCGGGGAGGAAGGCGGUGAGGUUAAUAACCUCACCGAUUGACGUUACCCGCAGAAGAAGCACCGGCUAACUCCGUGCCAGCAGCCGCGGUAAUACGGAGGGUGCAAGCGUUAAUCGGAAUUACUGGGCGUAAAGCGCACGCAGGCGGUCUGUCAAGUCGGAUGUGAAAUCCCCGGGCUCAACCUGGGAACUGCAUUCGAAACUGGCAGGCUAGAGUCUUGUAGAGGGGGGUAGAAUUCCAGGUGUAGCGGUGAAAUGCGUAGAGAUCUGGAGGAAUACCGGUGGCGAAGGCGGCCCCCUGGACAAAGACUGACGCUCAGGUGCGAAAGCGUGGGGAGCAAACAGGAUUAGAUACCCUGGUAGUCCACGCUGUAAACGAUGUCGAUUUGGAGGUUGUGCCCUUGAGGCGUGGCUUCCGGAGCUAACGCGUUAAAUCGACCGCCUGGGGAGUACGGCCGCAAGGUUAAAACUCAAAUGAAUUGACGGGGGCCCGCACAAGCGGUGGAGCAUGUGGUUUAAUUCGAUGCAACGCGAAGAACCUUACCUGGUCUUGACAUCCACAGAACUUUCCAGAGAUGGAUUGGUGCCUUCGGGAACUGUGAGACAGGUGCUGCAUGGCUGUCGUCAGCUCGUGUUGUGAAAUGUUGGGUUAAGUCCCGCAACGAGCGCAACCCUUAUCCUUUGUUGCCAGCGGUUAGGCCGGGAACUCAAAGGAGACUGCCAGUGAUAAACUGGAGGAAGGUGGGGAUGACGUCAAGUCAUCAUGGCCCUUACGACCAGGGCUACACACGUGCUACAAUGGCAUAUACAAAGAGAAGCGACCUCGCGAGAGCAAGCGGACCUCAUAAAGUAUGUCGUAGUCCGGAUUGGAGUCUGCAACUCGACUCCAUGAAGUCGGAAUCGCUAGUAAUCGUAGAUCAGAAUGCUACGGUGAAUACGUUCCCGGGCCUUGUACACACCGCCGUCACACCAUGGGA